AAGUGGCAUACCGAGGUUCCUGCCUGCUCGUAAAACAGGUGGGGAUAAAGUAAACGCAGACGACUAUGCGUAUGCCGUAGCCGCUUAAGACGGCUACCGUCCUGCCAGUUUGGGUCCGCGGAGCUGGCAAAGGGCGUCGACUAGCGGAACCGCCCGCUGCAGGUGCCUAUGGGCAGCGGGUCAAACGAAGUAGGCUGGCUUGAUGGGAGUCCUGCCCGAGGGGAUUCCCUGAAGGCGAGACUGCAAAACCCGGGAUAAGUAUGUAGAGGCUUAAGUGGAAUGUUUUCGGACGCGGGUUCGACUCCCGCCGCCUCCACCA
rnacentral:tmRNA from 1 species